CUACGGGUCGCUGCAGUGAGGAAUAUUGCACAAUGGGGGGAACCCUGAUGCAGCAACGCCGCGUGGAGGAUGACGCAUUUCGGUGUGUAAACUCCUUUUAUAUGUCAAGAAAAUGACGGUAGCAUAUGAAUAAGCACCGGCUAACUCCGUGCCAGCAGCCGCGGUAAUACGGAGGGUGCAAGCGUUACUCGGAGUCACUGGGCGUAAAGGACGCGUAGGCGGGUUGGAAAGUCAGGUGUGAAAUCCUACGGCUUAACUGUAGAACUGCACUUGAAACUUCUAAUCUAGAGUAUGGGAGGGGGAGAUGGAAUUAGUGGUGUAGGGGUAAAAUCCGUAGAUAUCACUAGGAAUACCUAAAGCGAAGGCGAUCUCCUGGAACAUUACUGACGCUAAGGCGUGAAAGCGUGGGGAGCAAACAGGAUUAGAUACCCGGGUAGUC
rnacentral:rRNA from 1 species